CACAUACCUACAGUGAACUAGUUCGAAUGUAGGCAUCACCUUUGAAUUCAGAUCAAAAAAUCUAAUAAACAUUUCUGUGAUUUGAAAUAAGCUAUUUGCUUAGUUAUUCUUAGACACAGUGAUGUCCCAUUAUUUUAAUGUCGAGUACACAUCUUGUAAUGUCUCUUCACUCUGAGAGAUGAGUCCGCCAUUUGAAAUAUUUCGGCAAAAAAUAGACAUCACGUUUCGAUUCAUAAUGACGUUAUUACUAAUGUGUAUCAUUUUAAUAAAUACGUUCGUAACAUCGCAAUAUGAAUUUGGAAUAAAUAGAGAUUUACCGUCAUAUAUCAAGAGGGCGUUGAAUUUGAAAAACAAUUAUAGAUUGAUGCCUCGCGAAAAGAAUCAUAUGAUUAACAAUUUAAGCGUGUUUGAUGUCGUCGAGAAGAUCAAAUAUAUAACAAAAUCUAUAGACGAGAAUGCGAAGAGGAAUGGUUAUAAAGUUGAUUACAUUCUCAGAAUUUUGAACUGAAA